rnacentral:rRNA from 1 species
UCACAUAUGCUUGUCUCAAAGAUUAAGCCAUGCAAGUCUAAGUAUAAAAAUAUUUUAUAUUUGAAACUGCAGAUAGCUCAUUAAAUCAGUUAUAGUUUAUUUGAUGGUACCUUACUACUUGGAUAACCGUAGUAAUUCUAGAGCUAAUACAUGCGUAAAGUCCCGACUCGUGAGGGAAGGGAUGUAUUUAUUAGAUAAAAAACCAAUGCGGACUCUGUCCGGUUAUUUGGUGAUUCAUAAUAACUGUUCGAAUCGCAUGACUUAACGUCGGCGAUAGU